UACAGAUGUGAGAGGAGACGGAGAGAUUCAGGGAGGAGCUGAGCUGUUACUGAACUAUAGACGAGAGAGGAACUUCCAUAUUCAGCAGAGUUCAACAUACAAACCAGCAACAUUACCUUGAUUCAACAUGCUGUCACUGCAUCAUUCUGUAGUUUCUCUACUGCUUCUCUACACUCUAACAGACAUCAGCUGUGGAGAACUCACACCAGUAAAGACUGAAGAGUUCAGUGUAGAAGGCAGAACUGUGACUCUGUCCUGCAACGACACCAAACUGUCAUCAAGUGAUUAUUUCUUCUGGUAUCGACAACAUCCAGGAAAACCUCCAGAGUUCCUCAUCUCUCACACAGGAACGGGACAACAACUGUCAGAUCCAGUCUCUGGACUGUCUGUUACAGUGAGAGGUGAUCAAACCCAGAUGGAUCUGAUCAUCUCCUCUGCUGCAGUGACUGACUCUGCUGUGUACUACUGUGCUCUGAGGCCCACAGUGACAGGAAACACCAAACCUCUGUACAGAAACCUCUGCAGCAAGCAAGUCAAUACUCCACAUGGUCCACUAGAGGGAGUCACACCCUAUCACACCUCAGUGUUUCUCUUCAUCCAGAUUCUUCUUGGUGAAGAUUCACACCAGAGAGAAUGAACAACUAAAGCUGUA